rnacentral:rRNA from 1 species
UUAAGCGACUAAGCGUACACGGUGGAUGCCCUGGCAGUCAGAGGCGAUGAAGGACGUGCUAAUCUGCGAUAAGCGUCGGUAAGGUGAUAUGAACCGUUAUAACCGGCGAUUUCCGAAUGGGGAAACCCAGUGUGUUUCGACACACUAUCAUUAACUGAAUCCAUAGGUUAAUGAGGCGAACCGGGGGAACUGAAACAUCUAAGUACCCCGAGGAAAAGAAAUCAACCGAGAUUCCCCCAGUAGCGGCGAGCGAACGGGGAGCAGCCCAGAGCCUGAAUCAGUGUGUGUGUUAGUGGAAGCGUCUGGAAAGGCGCGCGAUACAGGGUGACAGCCCCGUACACAAAAAUGCACAUGCUGUGAGCUCGAUGAGUAGGGCGGGACACGUGGUAUCCUGUCUGAAUAUGGGGGGACCAUCCUCCAAGGCUAAAUACUCCUGACUGACCGAUAGUGAACCAGUACCGUGAGGGAAAGGCGAAAAGAACCCCGGCGAGGGGAGUGAAAAAGAACCUGAAACCGUGUACGUACAAGCAGUGGGAGCACGCUUAGGCGUGUGACUGCGUACCUUUUGUAUAAUGGGUCAGCGACUUAUAUUCUGUAGCAAGGUUAACCGAAUAGGGGAGCCGAAGGGAAACCGAGUCUUAACUGGGCGUUAAGUUGCAGGGUAUAGACCCGAAACCCGGUGAUCUAGCCAUGGGCAGGUUGAAGGUUGGGUAACACUAACUGGAGGACCGAACCGACUAAUGUUGAAAAAUUAGCGGAUGACUUGUGGCUGGGGGUGAAAGGCCAAUCAAACCGGGAGAUAGCUGGUUCUCCCCGAAAGCUAUUUAGGUAGCGCCUCGUGAAUUCAUCUCCGGGGGUAGAGCACUGUUUCGGCAAGGGGGUCAUCCCGACUUACCAACCCGAUGCAAACUGCGAAUACCGGAGAAUGUUAUCACGGGAGACACACGGCGGGUGCUAACGUCCGUCGUGAAGAGGGAAACAACCCAGACCGCCAGCUAAGGUCCCAAAGUCAUGGUUAAGUGGGAAACGAUGUGGGAAGGCCCAGACAGCCAGGAUGUUGGCUUAGAAGCAGCCAUCAUUUAAAGAAAGCGUAAUAGCUCACUGGUCGAGUCGGCCUGCGCGGAAGAUGUAACGGGGCUAAACCAUGCACCGAAGCUGCGGCAGCGACACUAUGUGUUGUUGGGUAGGGGAGCGUUCUGUAAGCCUGUGAAGGUGUGCUGUGAGGCAUGCUGGAGGUAUCAGAAGUGCGAAUGCUGACAUAAGUAACGAUAAAGCGGGUGAAAAGCCCGCUCGCCGGAAGACCAAGGGUUCCUGUCCAACGUUAAUCGGGGCAGGGUGAGUCGACCCCUAAGGCGAGGCCGAAAGGCGUAGUCGAUGGGAAACAGGUUAAUAUUCCUGUACUUGGUGUUACUGCGAAGGGGGGACGGAGAAGGCUAUGUUGGCCGGGCGACGGUUGUCCCGGUUUAAGCGUGUAGGCUGGUUUUCCAGGCAAAUCCGGAAAAUCAAGGCUGAGGCGUGAUGACGAGGCACUACGGUGCUGAAGCAACAAAUGCCCUGCUUCCAGGAAAAGCCUCUAAGCAUCAGGUAACAUCAAAUCGUACCCCAAACCGACACAGGUGGUCAGGUAGAGAAUACCAAGGCGCUUGAGAGAACUCGGGUGAAGGAACUAGGCAAAAUGGUGCCGUAACUUCGGGAGAAGGCACGCUGAUAUGUAGGUGAAGUCCCUCGCGGAUGGAGCUGAAAUCAGUCGAAGAUACCAGCUGGCUGCAACUGUUUAUUAAAAACACAGCACUGUGCAAACACGAAAGUGGACGUAUACGGUGUGACGCCUGCCCGGUGCCGGAAGGUUAAUUGAUGGGGUUAGCCGCAAGGCGAAGCUCUUGAUCGAAGCCCCGGUAAACGGCGGCCGUAACUAUAACGGUCCUAAGGUAGCGAAAUUCCUUGUCGGGUAAGUUCCGACCUGCACGAAUGGCGUAAUGAUGGCCAGGCUGUCUCCACCCGAGACUCAGUGAAAUUGAACUCGCUGUGAAGAUGCAGUGUACCCGCGGCAAGACGGAAAGACCCCGUGAACCUUUACUAUAGCUUGACACUGAACAUUGAGCCUUGAUGUGUAGGAUAGGUGGGAGGCUUUGAAGUGUGGACGCCAGUCUGCAUGGAGCCGACCUUGAAAUACCACCCUUUAAUGUUUGAUGUUCUAACGUUGACCCGUAAUCCGGGUUGCGGACAGUGUCUGGUGGGUAGUUUGACUGGGGCGGUCUCCUCCUAAAGAGUAACGGAGGAGCACGAAGGUUGGCUAAUCCUGGUCGGACAUCAGGAGGUUAGUGCAAUGGCAUAAGCCAGCUUGACUGCGAGCGUGACGGCGCGAGCAGGUGCGAAAGCAGGUCAUAGUGAUCCGGUGGUUCUGAAUGGAAGGGCCAUCGCUCAACGGAUAAAAGGUACUCCGGGGAUAACAGGCUGAUACCGCCCAAGAGUUCAUAUCGACGGCGGUGUUUGGCACCUCGAUGUCGGCUCAUCACAUCCUGGGGCUGAAGUAGGUCCCAAGGGUAUGGCUGUUCGCCAUUUAAAGUGGUACGCGAGCUGGGUUUAGAACGUCGUGAGACAGUUCGGUCCCUAUCUGCCGUGGGCGCUGGAGAACUGAGGGGGGCUGCUCCUAGUACGAGAGGACCGGAGUGGACGCAUCACUGGUGUUCGGGUUGUCAUGCCAAUGGCACUGCCCGGUAGCUAAAUGCGGAAGAGAUAAGUGCUGAAAGCAUCUAAGCACGAAACUUGCCCCGAGAUGAGUUCUCCCUGACUCCUUGAGAGUCCUGAAGGAACGUUGAAGACGACGACGUUGAUAGGCCGGGUGUGUAAGCGCAGCGAUGCGUUGAGCUAACCGGUACUAAUGAACCGUGAGGCUUAACCU